rnacentral:tRNA from 1 species
GCGCCCAUAGCUCAACUGGAUAGAGCAGCGGACUUCUAAUCCGCAGGUUUGAGGUUCAAGUCCUCAUGGGCGUA